rnacentral:lncRNA from 1 species
AGGAAUGUACUACGGCGUGUCCGGCACGUCUGUCCGCGGCGGUAGGGCGCGCACACUGCCCGGGGCCAGGGAAGGUUGUGCGCACUGUGAUGAGGGCUGGGGCGUGCUGGCCUCGCGCGCGGACCCUGUUACCUGUGCGUCCGCAUCACGAGCAGGCCGAAGACAGGAACGCGCGGGCGCGGACGCGCACUAACGCGGGUGCGCGCAUGGGCCUCUCGGUCCAGGUCACGUGGUGGAGUAGGCUCCGCCUUCUCCCCCACUCCUCCCCCCCCUUUCCCUCCAUCUGGGUUUCUUUCUUUCCUUUUCUUUCUUCUUUUUUUUUUUUUUUUUUUCUUCAAUGAACACACACCGUGUGCAUCUUAAAGCCACACUGCCCCAUUUCACGGGUUCAUUUGACUCCUCACUACUCCGGUUCCUUCUGCAGUUCAAGUCGGAAAAGAAAAAUAAUAGGACGUAGCAGAAUCCCGUGUUUCUGGGUCUGGUGUCUACUGCGGGGAGGAGGAACUUCAAAACUUAUUGGAGAAUGGAAUGUGCUUUCUUAAGUGUUAUUUUUUUUUUUUCUUAAAGAGCGUAGUUGUGUAGACAGUUUAAUUUGUUGCUGGCUCCAACAUUCACUCCCCUCCCCACUACGCAUUUUUCUUCUUCUUGUUGUUUGUUGUUGUGAAUCCCCUGAAUGUCUUGGUGACACUGGACACAAUAUCAGGACAAAUCGUAGCGCUCUAUGAACAAUUUGUUUAAAAUGAAUUCCACAUCAAAGCCUUUAUUCUCUUCUACGUCACGCUAUUAAAUGUUACAGGGUGUGUAUCGAGCUUUAUUUUGUUUUAAAGUUUAAAACUGACUUUAAGAAUGUGAUUAAUUAAUGAGGAUCCAGACGAAUUCCAAAUAUCAGGAAAUCUCUCAUUUCCAUUUCUCUGGCCUGCUGAAAAGAUUUGCUUUUUAUAUAUUAAAAAUUCAAAU